UGGCUACUCCCUCCGUUUGAAAAAACUUAUCUCAAACUUGUCCCUCAAAUGGAUGUAUCUACCACUAACUUGGUGCUAGAUACAUCUAUUUGAGAGACAAACUUUUUCAAACGGAGAGAGUACAUG
rfam:Triticum aestivum genome assembly, contig: Triticum_aestivum_CS42_TGACv1_scaffold_556903_7AL